UGCAAGUCGAACGCUUCUUUCCUCCCGAGUGCUUGCACUCAAUUGGAAAGAGGAGUGGCGGACGGGUGAGUAACACGUGGGUAACCUACCCAUCAGAGGGGGAUAACACUUGGAAACAGGUGCUAAUACCGCAUAACAGUUUAUGCCGCAUGGCAUAAGAGUGAAAGGCGCUUUCGGGUGUCGCUGAUGGAUGGACCCGCGGUGCAUUAGCUAGUUGGUGAGGUAACGGCUCACCAAGGCCACGAUGCAUAGCCGACCUGAGAGGGUGAUCGGCCACACUGGGACUGAGACACGGCCCAGACUCCUACGGGAGGCAGCAGUAGGGAAUCUUCGGCAAUGGACGAAAGUCUGACCGAGCAACGCCGCGUGAGUGAAGAAGGUUUUCGGAUCGUAAAACUCUGUUGUUAGAGAAGAACAAGGACGUUAGUAACUGAACGUCCCCUGACGGUAUCUAACCAGAAAGCCACGGCUAACUACGUGCCAGCAC
rnacentral:rRNA from 1 species